rnacentral:rRNA from 1 species
AACGAACGCUGGCGGCAUGCCUAACACAUGCAAGUCGAACGAGAUCUUCGGGUCUAGUGGCGCACGGGUGCGUAACGCGUGGGAAUCUGCCCUUUGGUUCGGAAUAACAGUUGGAAACGACUGCUAAUACCGGAUGAUGACGAAAGUCCAAAGAUUUAUCGCCAGAGGAUGAGCCCGCGUAGGAUUAGCUAGUUGGUGUGGUAAAGGCGCACCAAGGCGACGAUCCUUAGCUGGUCUGAGAGGAUGAUCAGCCACACUGGGACUGAGACACGGCCCAGACUCUUACGGGAGGCAGCAGUGGGGAAUAUUGGACAAUGGGCGAAAGCCUGAUCCAGCAAUGCCGCGUGAGUGAUGAAGGCCUUAGGGUUGUAAAGCUCUUUUACCCGGGAUGAUAAUGACAGUACCGGGAGAAUAAGCUCCGGCUAACUCCGUGCCAGCAGCCGCCGUAAAAC